UACGUAGGGUGCGAGCGUUGUCCGGAAUUACUGGGCGUAAAGAGCUCGUAGGUGGUUUGUCGCGUUGUCCGUGAAAACUCACAACUCAAUUGUGGGCGUGCGGGCGAUACGGGCAGACUGGAGUACUGCAGGGGAGACUGGAAUUCCUGGUGUAGCGGUGGAAUGCGCAGAUAUCAGGAGGAACACCGGUGGCGAAGGCGGGUCUCUGGGCAGUAACUGACGCUGAGGAGCGAAAGCGUGGGGAGCGAAUGGG
rnacentral:rRNA from 1 species